rnacentral:rRNA from 1 species
CCAAUAGCGUAUAUUAAAGUUGCUGCAGUUAAAAAGCUCGUAGUUGAAUUUCGGGACCAAUAUGUCGGUCGUGCCUCGGUACGUACUGGCAUCGUUGGUUUCUCCUUUCUGAAGAACCAUGAUGUCAUUUAUUUGGUGUCGUGGGGAAUCAGGACUGUUACUUUGAAAAAAUUAGAGUGUUUAAAGCAGGCUCACGCUUGAAUACAUUAGCAUGGAAUAAUGAAAUAGGACGUUUGAUUCUAUUUUGUUGGUUUCUAGGAUCGACGUAAUGAUUAAUAGGGAUAGUUGGGGUCAUUAUUAUUCAAUUGUCAGAGGUGAAAUUCUUGGAUUUAUUGAAGACUAACUACUGCGAAAGCAUUUGCCAAGGAUGUUUUCAUUAAUCAAGAACGAAAGUUAGGGGAUCGAGGACGAUCAGAUACCGUCGUAGUCUUAACCAUAAACUAUGCCGACUAGGGAUCGGAUGAUGUUAAUUUUUUAAUGACUCAUUCGGCACCUUACG